GUGUGUGUGUGUGUGUGUGUGUGUGUGUGUGUGUGUGUGUGUGUGUGACAGGGUGCAGGUAACAGCUGUGUUUAAUGUUAUGCUUUUUAACGUUAGAUAGACUGAGAAAAUCCUAAGGAACCCCACGCAGGAGCAGGCGCAGAGAUCACCUUACUCGGUGAUUGGUCAAGGUGGUGAGGGGAAGAAGCCCAAUGAUUGGCCAAGGUGUGGAUGGAAGGCCAGUGAUUAGUCAGAAGGAUACGAGAAGCCCAGUGAUUAAUAAAAAAAAAAAGAUAGCAGAAGCCCAGUGAUUGGUCAAAGAGACUUUCGAUAUUGCGGUGCCUAUUCAUGGUAAUGAAGGAAGCCCAGUGAUUGGUCCAGGACUCUAGGUGUUACUGAGAAUCCUCAAUCACAGCGUAAUGACGGAAUAUACUUUUUUUUUUCUCUCCGACCGUAAUAUAUCACUUUUUUGUGUCUGUGCAUUGUGUCUGGCCUCCACAAUGCUAACUCUCAAAUAUUCCACCCAGCAAACGACAUCAACCCACAAACAAUGCUGCUGCUAACCGUUUGUUUACUGUUCUUAGUAAUGUCUGUUUACAUUAACGCGCGUAUGACCAUACCGGAGAUAAUACCGAGUUACCGUUGUUGUUUGUGAUCCCCGUUAGCGCUGUGUGUGUGUGUGUGUGAGGGGGAAGUGAACUACUCGUUACCAAGUAAAUAACUUUGACUAAGUUUUCCAGAUUAAAGUACUGCUUUACGCAGUCGGAUAAAGUUUGAAUUAGAAGUGUCAUGGACGCUAGUUUUGACUUGACUAUUGGUUUUUUGACAGCAAUUAUAUAUAUUUUCCCCUCAAAUCAUGCUAAAUGGAAAAAAAAAAUUCCUCAAUGCCACUGUUUAAAAAAAAAAAAAAUCCCAGGUCCCCUCUUUACUGGUAAAUACUUGUCUUUUCCCCCAAGCGGCUUCGUUAAUUUGUACAGGAAAACAAAUAAAAAAAGAAAUUGUGGCUGUUUAAGAAAAGAUUUUUCACAGGGGCGCCUCUUAGUGAAGACUGGAUGGCGCAUGCCUCUUUGGCACGGACAGCACGCUAGGCUUGUGAUCCUGUGGUCCUGGGUUCGAUCCCAGGCGCCGGCGAGAAACAAUGGGCAGAGUUUCUUUCACCCUAUGCCCCUGUUACCUAGCAGUAAAUUAGGUACCUGGGUGUUAGUCAGCUGUCACGGGCUGCAUCCUGGGGGUGGAGGCCUGGUCGAGGACCGGGCCGCGGGACACUAAAAAGCCCCGAAAUCAUCUCAAGAUAAUCUCAAGAUUGGCUGCCAACUGUCCUCUUGGGGAAAGUUGAGUAAGUGUUGACGAGGAUUCGUUGGCUAAUCCUCUGCAUGUUGCAUGAGUCAAAAUGAAACAUUGUUUGUUCUUUAUACACGAAGAACAUUGCAAGCUCAUUACGAGUGAAAGUGAGCCAUUGGAUUCAUUUUCUGCGUGUAAGUGACUGAUUCGAUCAGUGAUUUACGGAUCGAAUCGGUGACCUUACACAAGGAAUCAGAAUCCCUACACAAGGAAUCAGAAUCCUUACACAAGGAAUCAGAAUCCAUACUCAAGGAAUCAGAAUCCCUACACAAGGAAUCAGAAUCCUUACACAAGGAAUCAGAAUCCAUACUCAAGGAAUCAGAAUCCUUACACAAGGAAUCAGAAACCUUACACAAGGAAUCAGAAACCUUACACAAGGAAUCAGAAACCUUACACAAGGAAUCAGAAUCAGGUAUUUUAGAAGUGAAACAUCGGGAACUUUGCUGUGGUUAUGACGUCUCACUGGAGGCUUUGGUCGAUGGGAGAGCGUUCUGAUAGUGGGCAAGCCUAUUUUUGAUGGGCAAGCCUGCUGGUGAUGGGCAAGCCUGUUGCUGAUGAGCAAGCCUGGUGGUGAUGGGCAAGCCUGGUGGUGAUGGGCAAGCCUGCUGGUGAAGGGUAAGCCUGCUACUGAUGGGCAAGCCUUCUCCUGAUGGGCAAGCCUGGUGGUGAUGAGCAAGCCUGGUGGUCAUGGGCAAGCCUUCUCCUGAUGAGUAAGCCUGCUACUGAUGGGCAAGACUUCUCCUGGUGGGCAAGCCUGCUACUGAUGGGCAAGCCUGCUACUGAUGGGCAAGCCUGCUACUGAUGGGCAAGCCUGCUACUGAUGGGCAAGCCUGCUACUGAUGGGCAAGCCUGCUACUGAUGGGCAAGCCUGCUACUGAUGGGCAAGCCUGCUACUGAUGGGCAAGACUUCUCCUGGUGGGCAAGCCUGCUACUGAUGGGCAAGCCUGCUACUGAUGGGCAAGACUUCUCCUGGUGGGCAAGCCUGCUACUGAUGGGCAAGCCUGCUACUGAUGGGCAAGCCUGCUACUGAUGGGCAAGCCUGCUACUGAUGGGCAAGCCUGCUACUGAUGGGCAAGCCUGCUACUGAUGGGCAAGACUUCUCCUGGUGGGCAAGCCUGCUACUGAUGGGCAAGCCUGCUACUGAUGGGCAAGCCUGCUACUGAUGGGCAAGCCUGCUACUGAUGGGCAAGCCUGCUACUGAUGGGCAAGCCUGCUACUGAUGGGCAAGCCUGCUACUGAUGGGCAAGACUUCUCCUGGUGGGCAAGCCUGCUACUGAUGGGCAAGCCUGCUACUGAUGGGCAAGCCUGCUACUGAUGGGCAAGCCUGCUACUGAUGGGCAAGCCUGCUACUGAUGGGCAAGCCUGCUACUGAUGGGCAAGCCUGCUACUGAUGAGCAAGCCUGCUACUGAUGGGCAAGCCUGCUACUGAUGGGCAAGCCUGCUACUGAUGGGCAAGCCUGCUGCUUAUCACUGACGGAACGACCAUUGUACUUGAAAAUAACAUUUAUAUCUAACUUUAAAAAAAAAAAUCCCUUUUUCAAAAUUUCAAAAUAAAUUAAAUAUUACCUUUUUGUCUUCAAGGAAUAUUAAUGACAUAUUUAAGAAAGGCAUUUAAGAUCGAAAGGCACUACAGAUACAUACGGGAUUAUCAACUAUCUUCAGAUGUACUUAUAAACAGCUUUGGCACGCGGGAUACAAGAUCCAGUGAGAUACAUAACAAAAUAAAUUAAACUUUUCUGUGGAAAAGUUGCAUUGGGUCUUGCACAGCAAACUGUAUAUAUGGUCCAUGGCCCUCAUACGUACUUAUACAGCAUUCAGUUUAUUCAUUGUAUAAAGGAGAGAGGGGGGAGACCUGCUACAUGGGUAACAGCUUCUCCACCAUAUCGACCAGCUGCAUGGGUAACAGCUUCUCCACCAUAUCGACCAGCUGCAUGGGUAACAGCUUCUCCUCCAUAUCGACCAGCUGCAUGGGUAACAGCUUCUCCUCCAUAUCGACCAGCUGCAUGGGUAACAGCUUCUCCACCAUAUCGAUCUACCCAGGCUUUGCGCCCUGGAGAGGAAACUCCGGCCUCGACAACCAGAGCGGAACUCCAUAGUCUCCCGAGACUGCAGGAUGCCUACAAUGCCUCAUCAACAGUCUUCUUGAACAAGACGCUCAGUGUCUUCAAGAAGACACUCUUCCUAAAUCGGAAUCGCACCCAAGGAAGUCAUUCAUCCACGUAUGGAACUACAAAUAACGGCCAACAGCAACAGAAAAGCCCAACCUAACCUUCCCUAGGCCCAACUGUACGUAACAUAUCAUUAAAUCGAUGAACAAAUCCACAAGGGCCGUGACGAGGAUUCGAACCUGCGUCCGGGAGCCUCCCAGGCCCUUGUGGAUUUGUUCAUUUGAUGCAUCACGUUAGUGUGAUCUUUAUGUGUGUGAUUAAAACGAUAUAUAAUUUAGUUUAUAUUUACGCAGUACAUUUCAAUUGACGAAUGCUCUCUCACUAGCACAGACAGCUGCUUGGAUGAGCACAGCCUGCGGAUAGGUUGAUCACUGAGUACUUAAGCUAUCUUAGAAUAUUUAGGGGGGGGUACAGCUGCUUAUCAACAGGUGUGUAAGGACUCAGUCUUCUGAUCUCAACACAGUCUCGGGCUUAAGGAGGAUCUCACCAGUCGUGAAGACCCUCAGAAACACCUUGGAUACACUUGUAGCGCUCGAGAUAGGUUCACAACACUGCAUUGGUGACAAUUGGAAACUUGUGAAGAUUUUGCUUGUAAAUUUACUGAGGUUGUGAGUGGGCGUGAUUCCACCCCUACAACUACAAGCAUCUAUGUCUCCCCUUUAACCUCGUGUAUUUAUUGAUCCUAUUUACUGAAUUACAUGUAUGUAUAUAUGUGAAUUAAAUAUCAUUCAAUGAGUAUAUAUAUAUAUAUAUAUGCAAGGAGUCGAGUGUACGUGUGGACUCGAGUUGAAUUACAAACUCGAGGGUACGAAUAGACUCGAAUCUAUGCAAUGGUUUUAGUAUAUAUGUGUGUGUGUGUACAUAAUGGAGUGUCCUUAUUGUGUAGAAUGUACUUAUGGGCUGUACUGUAAAUACCAUUGGCAAGUGUUGUGAUUAUAAGUGGGUGAUUAGUGACUUAAGCAGCAGCACGCAUCAUUUGUAAGUAUAUCUGGCAACUUGAACAAGUUCAUAUUAGCGUCUUCUAACUUGAGUGUGCUUUUUACGUCAUCACUGGACUUUUAAUUCUCAAGUCCAAUGACGGUUUUUUUUGGACUUGAUUGUAUAUUAACUUUGCCUGAAAUUUUUUUAGUCCGCGUAAAUGUUUAUGGAGUUAAAAUGUGUAUAUGAUAUACAGCUGGUGAUGCGUUCUAAGUAUAGCAACAGUGAGGUUGAACGUGGUGACCAACCCUUGUCACCACCAGGUUUAGGCACUCCUCAUCACUGUCAAGUCCCCCUCCCCCCCUCUCCCCCCCCCUCUCUCACCCCACGUCAAGUCUCCUUGACCCCACCAAAUAUCUAAGUUCCCUCACCUCUUCAAUGUACACCCUUCACCCGUAUCAACUUGCUCCUUACCCCCAUCAAGCCCCACCCCCCCCUCCCAAAAAAAUCCUCUUUCACCUCCUCCAAAUCCACCCCCCCCUCCCCCUUCAAUUCCCCUUCAUAGGACCUGCCCAGCAUCCCGUUACUAACGUGAAGAGCAAUGUCUCCUCUAAGUCAGUAUUGUAAUAAAUAAUAUGCAACUCU
rnacentral:lncRNA from 1 species